AAUACGGGGGAUGCAAGCGUUAUCCGGAAUCAUUGGGCGUAAAGCGCCUGUAGGUUGUUUAAUAAGUCUGUUGUUAAAGACUAGGGCUUAACCCUAGAAAAGCAAUGGAAACUACUAGACUAGAGUAUGGCAGGGGUAGAGGGAAUUUCUAGUGUAGCGGUGAAAUGCGUAGAUAUUAGAAAGAACACCGGUGGCGAAAGCGCUCUACUGGACCAUUACUGACACUCAGAGGCGAAAGCUAGGGUAGCAAAAGGGAUUAGAUACCCCUGUAGUCCUAGCCGUAAACGAUGGAUACUACAUGUUGUGCAUUACGUACAGUAUGGUAGCUAACGCGUUAAGUAUCCCGCCUGGGGAGUACGCUCGCAAGGGUGAAACUCAAAGGAAUUGACGGGGGCCCGCACAAGCGGUGGAGCAUGUGGUUUAAUUCGAUGCAACGCGAAGAACCUUACCAGGACUUGACAUACUACAAAUUCUUUUGAGAAAGAGAAGUGCCUUCGGGAAUGUAGAUACAGGUGGUGCAUGGCUGUCGUCAGCUCGUGUCGUGAGAUGUUGGGUUAAGUCCCGCAACGAGCGCAACCCUUAUUUUUAGUUACCAAUUCGUUGGGUUCUCUAGAAAGACUGCCGGUGACAAACCGGAGGAAGGUGAGGAUGACGUCAAGUCAGCAUGCCCCUUAUGUCCUGGGCUACACACGUGCUACAAUGGUUAAGACAAAGAGUCGCGAGCUCGUGUGAGUCAGCUAAUCUCAUAAACUUAGCCCAAGUUCAGAUUGUAGGCUGCAACUCGCCUACAUGAAGUUGGAAUCGCUAGUAAUCGCUGGUCAGCCAUACAGCGGUGAAUCCGUUCCCGGGCCUUGUACACACCGCCCGUCACACCAUGGGAGCUGGUCAUACCCAAUACCGUUAGCUUAACCGUUUGGAGAGCGACGUCUAAGGUAGGGCUAGUGACUGG
rnacentral:rRNA from 1 species